CCAUUUUGACUAGGAAUCGCAUGUUGGUGUGAGGUACGUGUGGCGUCGAAGUUGUGAGGGUGUAGUUUUCUUAUUGCCGCUUUCAAUGAAUAAAUGUUCGUGGCGGGCAUAUGUAUUUUCUCGUUACGUAUUCUUUUAGUAUCUUCUGUGUGAAAAUUUGCCGUUUUAUUACACAUUUGUUUUAUGUAUGGUAGCCACGUGGUUUAAUUUGAAUUCUGGUGAUGGCGGUUAAAAACAACUCGAGUCUGGAAGGAAAUUGUUAUAUUACAGAAUUGUUUGUUCACUUUCUGUAGGACUUACUUGAUAAGCGGCAUUGCUUGUCGAAAAAGACUUAAAUGUAGGCAAAAAUAAACACAUGCAUGAGUUGGGAUAGGAGAUGAAAUUGUUCUAAUUCGUGUUGGCAGUCACGCGGCGUAAUGCAGGAAAUGGUCCGCCCGGAGCCGUAAUGGCAGCAUAUAUAUCCGUAACGAAGCGAAGGCGUCGAAAUACUAACUGCUGUAGCAAAUGCAUGCAUAUCAUGUGGGGCAUGUCUUGCUGCCGGCCGGAUUCGCAGGACAAACUUGAAACUUGUGCAUACACUUUCCGACAUUUGAACUUUGGUCCUUCCAGAAAGAUGGACAUGGGCGACCGUGGUCAGCUCCUGGCAGCUGCACUGCUGGCACGGAAUGAUAUGGUUGUGCUUGUCUCAAGGUGGAUUUGCCACCGUUGGUGGCGUUGUGGGUGCCAUAAGGCUUAUGAAAAAGGUGUACUCAAGUGAUGAGAAUGAGAGAUUACUUUGCUCUUGAUAUUGGGUAGAGCAGUGCUGGUGAACCUGUGAAGUCUUCUUGGAAAUCUUACAGGACAUUUUUGGCUGGACUAUGAAAUACUACUUGGAGAAACUGGUUUGAGUCAAAUUUGGAGUUCAAGAAACUUUGCAGUUCAUGUCAGUUAAGUUAUUGGCAUUUACAGGGUGUUUAAAAAAUGACCGGAGUAUUUGAAACGGCAAUAAAAACUAAACGAGCAGCAAUAGAAAUACCAUUUGUUGCAAUAUGCUUGGGACAACAGUAAAUUUUCAGGCAGACAAACUUCCGAAAUUACAGUAGUUACAAUUUUCUACAACAUAUGGUGCUGCAAGUGAUAUGAAAGAUAUACAAGACAAUAGAAGACACUGAACACCUCGUGGUUUAUGCAAGAUGGUGCCCGGCCACAUCGCAUGGCUGACGUCUUUAAUUUCCUGAAUGAAUAUUUUGAUCGUGAGAUUGCUUUGGGCUAUCCGAAACAUACAGGAGGCAGUGUGGAUUGGCCUCCCUAUAUCUUUUGGCAGUUCAGAUCUGUUUUGGUGUCUGAAUGUGGGAGGCAUGCAACCCUUUCAGAAAUCUGUACUGUGGCCUGAGCCUUAUAACAUCCCUGAAUUACUCCUUAGUCCUCAUGUGCACACUAUUGUGGUCUGCCAGUGCAGUUGACAGCUGUGACAGCUACCAUUACACAGCUAUGGAAAUAGUAUAGUGCUUUCUUCAAGCAAAAUAGAUUCCACUGGGAGAGCUGAUGCAAGAUUGUGGAAUAUUUUCCAAAUAUGGCCCCCACAUCACUGCAUGUUACGCAGCAAUACCCACAUCUGAGUUGCACACGGCCAUUUUCUGCUGUAGGGAUACAAUGUACAGUAAAGUAGUUGUACUUAUGCGUGGUACUUGCAAGUGCUAUCCUCAGGCUUUUUUGUGGUAGCUGCCAAAAUGAUCACUUACUUGACUAGUUAGUGGUUUAAUUUGUGGAUGAAUGCACAUUUGUUACACAUUGGCAACUUCUGGACAACCAUCUUUGUGCAAGGUGGUAUUAACAGCUGGCCUUACAUAAUGGGCAACAUUGGACCAUUUCUUCCACCAGACUAAUGGGACUGAUCUAUUCCACAUUUAUUAAAGGUAUUGUGCUUAUCCUGUGGGAUGUAGCACCAGUAAAUGUUGUGGAUGGACAUGUUACUUCAAUAUGACUGAACUACAGCACAGUUCAGUUGAUGGGCAGAAUGACAUCAGUGUCGCAUAUCCCAAUCAGUGGGUUGCUAGAGGUGGAACAGUUCAAUUACCAUACUUGAUGCCUCUAUUCUUUUGGGAACAAGAAGUGUGGCACACCUGUACCAUGAGUGGGUGUUAUGUAGUCCUCGGAAACAGUACUUAAGACAGCUGCACAUAUUGGCACUGCUGAAGUAUGAAGUGCAUUGAUGUAGGAAGAACACAGUUGAAGCCCAUUUGUAAUGUAAAUGGCACUGUGUGCUGGUCCUGUUAGUUUUAUUUAAUGUGGGAUGCACAACAAUCUGACUUCAGUGCCCACAUUGUUGGUAUGGUUUGGUUCUGAAACUGCUCAGUGCACUGCACAAAACAUAAGUAUUGUCAGUUUUUGUGAUACCCUGUGUAAUGUUAAAUGUGCUAGUUUGCAACUGCUGAGAGUAUUACAAGAGUUUAACAGAUUUGAGCAUUUUGUGGUUCAAAUGGUUUAGUGUAAUGUCCAGGUUGCUUUGAAUAUACAAAUCAAGUGUAGCAGCUUGGAAAGAUAUUAGGAUAAAUUGGCAUGAACUGUGGGAUUUACCAUUGCUUACAUCCAGUGCGACUAAAAAUUCUGAAAUGGAUUUGGAGGUGUGUGUUGGUGUAUGCUUGGUGCAUAUUGGGUUUGUGCUGUCUCUAAGGUGUCUGCCCUUUCAGGUAUGUAAUUAAAACUCCCAGUUGUGCUUCCAGAUGUUAUUUGCUGUUAAUGAUGAACAACAAACACUGCCCUAGUCAAUCUGAAGAAAUGAUGUUGAAAGAUUCUGAUAUCGUUAAAUUUUCUUUUCAUUUGAUGAUGAUAAAGGAAUUGUGCUUAUUUCAUGAUUCUUGUUUCAGGUAUACAUGUUCAUUAUUAUUGAAAAUCAACAGGAAUGUAAUUGUCAGCAAAGUAAUAAUUUGUUUGUGACUAGUGUUUCACUUGUAAAGUAUUGGUCAAUAAAGAUUUCAGUUGAAAAUUUUUGUAAGA